AGCCUGAUCCAGCCAUACCGCGUGGGUGAAGAAGGCCUUCGGGUUGUAAAGCCCUUUUGUUGGGAAAGAAAUCCUGUCGGUUAAUAACCGGUAGGGAUGACGGUACCCAAAGAAUAAGCACCGGCUAACUUCGUGCCAGCAGCCGCGGUAAUACGAAGGGUGCAAGCGUUACUCGGAAUUACUGGGCGUAAAGCGUGCGUAGGUGGUUGUUUAAGUCUGCUGUGAAAGCCCUGGGCUCAACCUGGGAAUUGCAGUGGAUACUGGGCGACUAGAGUGUGGUAGAGGAUAGUGGAAUUUCCGGUGUAGCAGUGAAAUGCGUAGAGAUCGGAAGGAACAUCUGUGGCGAAGGCGACUAUCUGGGCCAACACUGACACUGAGGCACGAAAGCGUGGGGAGCAAACAGGAUUAGAUACCCUGGUAGUCCACGCCCUAAACGAUGCGAACUGGAUGUUGGGCACAACUUGGUGCCCAGUAUCGAAGCUAACGCGUUAAGUUCGCCGCCUGGGGAGUACGGUCGCAAGACUGAAACUC
rnacentral:rRNA from 1 species